UCGAACUCCGUAACGUAGUUACCGUUGCCGUUAUCGACGUCCCUUCUGUUUUCAACAGAAAAACGAUCGCUUUUGCUCCGCUGACCUCUACGUUUUGCUCACUGCUGUAUCAUUCCAAGUGUUUCUUCUUCCAAGAUGAAUACAAGGCUUCACAUUCAAGCUCGGGAGGACAUAAUUCGCUAUUAUGGCACUCCUGCGGCUGUGAGUUUGUGGCCGUCUCAGGAUGAGGAGUCCGACUGUAAAAACGAUCGCUUUUGCUCCGCUGACCUCUACGUUUUGCUAACUGCUGUAUCAUUCCAAGUGUUUCUUCUUCCAAGAUGAAUACAAGGCUUCACAUUCAAGCUCGGGAGGACAUAAUUCGCUAUUAUGGCACUCCUGCGGCUGUGAGUUUGUGGCCGUCUCAGGAUGAGGAGUCCGACUGUGUAUGUAUAAUUUUACAUGCCCACCCUGUAAAUUCUUCCGUCUAGUAUAGCUGAUUUGUUGCACAUUAAGUCUGCCCAGUCCCUUUAAUAAACUGUGAUUCGUUUUCUUUGCAAAAGUAUCCCGUAUUUCUGUCUUACCUGACUUCCUUUGUCCCUCCCUCCACCCCCUCGAUGUGUAGCGUUCCCUGGCCGUGUCCCCUUCCCGUUGUCCCGACCCCCUGAGCGUCUUCACUCCGUUCUGGGCCCGCCCUGUCUACGGUGAGACGCUCCCCGCCCCCGUCACCAUCAACCACGCUGAUUACUAUCCUGCCCCAAGUGACGAUGAUGACAGUGACUACUGGGUGUACGAGGACGAGG